rnacentral:rRNA from 1 species
GACAGAGGAUGCAAGCGUUAUCCGGAAUGAUUGGGCGUAAAGCGUCUGUAGGUGGCUUUUUAAGUCCGCCGUCAAAUCCCAGGGCUCAACCCUGGACAGGCGGUGGAAACUACCAAGCUGGAGUACGGUAGGGGCAGAGGGAAUUUCCGGUGGAGCGGUGAAAUGCGUAGAGAUCGGAAAGAACACCAAUGGCGAAGGCACUCUACUGGGCCAUUACUGACACUGAGAGACGAAAAGCUAGGGGAGCGAAUGGG